rnacentral:sRNA from 1 species
UCAGUUCCGCGAGAGCCACCCUCCUCCCAGGCUCUUGCAGAUCGCCCGGCGGCACUCCUCCUCCCAGCCGCGGGGCACCUCCCAAGACGCCUGCCGGUCCUCCCCCGGCAGGCGUUUUCG